rnacentral:rRNA from 1 species
AUUGAACGCUGGCGGCAUGCCUUACACAUGCAAGUCGAACGGUAACAGGUCUUCGGAUGCUGACGAGUGGCGAACGGGUGAGUAAUGCAUCGGAACGUGCCCAGUAGCGGGGGAUAGCCCGGCGAAAGCCGGAUUAAUACCGCAUACGACCUGAGGGUGAAAGGGGGGGAUCGCAAGACCUCUCGCUCUUGGAGCGGUCGAUGCCAGAUUAGCUAGUUGGUGGGGUAAAGGCCUACCAAGGCAACGAUCUGUAGUUGGUCUGCGAGGACGACCAGCCACACUGGGACUGAGACACGGCCCAGACUCCUACGGGAGGCAGCAGUGGGGAAUUUUGGACAAUGGGCGCAAGCCUGAUCCAGCAAUGCCGCGUGCAGGAAGAAGGCCUUCGGGUUGUAAACUGCUUUUGUCAGGGAAGAAAUCUUCUGGGUUAAUACCUCGGGAGGAUGACGGUACCUGAAGAAUAAGCACCGGCUAACUACGUGCCAGCAGCCGCGGUAAGAC